rnacentral:rRNA from 1 species
AUUGAACGCUGGCGGCAGGCCUAACACAUGCAAGUCGAGCGGAGCGGCGGACGGGUGAGUAAUGACUGGGAAGCUGCCUGGUAGUGGGGGAUAACUUACGGAAACGGGCGCUAAUAACGCAUACUUUCAGAUGGGUCUAGGUCGGAUUUGCUAGUUGGUGGGGUAACGGCCUACCUAGGCGACGAUCCGUAACUGGUCUGAGAGGAUGAUCAGUCACACUGGAACUGAGACACGGUCCAGACUCCUACGGGAGGCAGCAGUGGGGAAUAUUGGACAAUGGGCGAAAGCCUGAUCCAGCCAUGCCGCGUGUGUGAAGAAGGUCUUCGGAUUGUAAAGCACUUUAAGUUGGGAGGCGUUACCAACAGAAUAAGCACCGGCUAACUUCGUGCCAGCAGCCGCGGUAAUAC